GAACGCCCUUGGCUACACUCUGAAAUAUACCCAUCUCCGCAAUGGUAUUUUUCAAUUUUUGUUCAAGGAAGAAUACUUGAAGGCUCGAUACUCACCCCAACACUCUGGCACUGAUGCCCGUGGGUGUAGGGGUCCAUUAACCUAGCCCACAU
rnacentral:snoRNA from 1 species